rnacentral:rRNA from 1 species
UACAGAGGUCCCGAGCGUUGUUCGGAUUCACUGGGCGUAAAGGGUGCGUAGGUGGUGAGGUAAGUCGGAUGUGAAAUCUCCGGGCUCAACCCGGAAACUGCAUUGGAAACUACCUUGCUUGAGGGUUUGAGGGGGGACUGGAAUUCUCGGUGUAGCAGUGAAAUGCGUAGAUAUCGAGAGGAACACCAGUGGCGAAGGCGAGUCCCUGGAAACACCUGACACUGAGGCACGAAAGCUAGGGGAGCAAACAGG